rnacentral:lncRNA from 1 species
AUUUGAUCUGAUUCCAUGAAGUAUUAUUUUGUGAUCAUUAUAAGGUAACUAAUAAAAAGUAUUCAAAUGUGCUAACCUGCAACGCAGUGAGUGUGUUACUUCACUGCGUUGGCUGUAGCUCAGGUGGUAGAGCGGGUCACCUACCUCCAGUCUACAUGCCAAAUAUCCUUGGGCAAGAUACUAACCCCAUGUUUGCCUACUGGUGGUGGUCAGAGGGCCCGGUGGCACCAGUGUCAGGCAGUCUCGCCUCUGUCAGUGCGCCCCAGGGCAGCUGUGACUACAAUGUAACUUGACGUCACCAGUGUUUGAAUGAGUGGAUGAUUGAAUGUAGUGUAAAGCGCUUUGGGGUCCUUAAGGACUAAGUAAAGUGCUAUACAAAUACAGGCCAUUUAGCAUUAAAACAUGUACAAACUAAAAUGUAUCGUCUUCCUUGUUGUUGUAAGGUAAUAUUGAGCUUUUGGCUCAAUGAUAUUUUUAGCUUUUCAGGUUAAUUUCUCAUAUUUAAUUGUGCCAUAAAUGAUUAUGUUUAAGUUUUCUGUUCAUUCAAAAUAACAAACUACUGUCCUCUACUGUUCUCAGAGAGUCACCUAUAAACUGUACAUGCAUGACUUUUCACACACCGUGUGUGUGUGUGUGUGUGUGUGUGUGUCUGUCUGUCUGUCUGUUUGGAAAGAAAAGCCUUCAAACACUGUUAUUAUUAUAACAUGAACACAUACAAAUAAAAAAAACCCUUUUCCCUCUGGUGGACAAACUCUGUAACUACAACAUGUUUCUAAAAGGCUUCAAGCCUACUUUGAUAUUUUUGCAGUUCCUCAUUAUGUCUGUUUGGAGAUGUUGUAAUGAGUGAAUGAAGUCAGACUGUAGAUUUUCUUUCUUCUAGCUGUACUGACUGACCUUUGACCUCAUGUGUUGAUGACUCUUCACCUCUGUCUCCUCUCACAGGAGAAGAUGAUCUGCAGGAUCCUGCUGCUCAUCAUCUUCACCUCAUGUGUCUCUGGAUCAUUUGUAGUCAAUGUGACACAGACCUCCUAUCAGGCAGAGGAGAACCACAACAAAAGGAAGAAUAUUAAUGUAUUUCUUUAUAAAUCACCAUAUUCUUUUGAUGUUGCAUUUUGAAAUUAUAUAUUAAAUACUUAUAAUAAAUGGCACAGUUGGCCAAAUGGUGCCAAGUGUAAAAUGGAUUUAAAGAAUUUCUUGAAUGCGAACCAGUUUGUAAUGUCUGACAAGGAAAACACAUAUCAUGUCUGUCAGCGAGGGCAGCAGUCUAAAAUAAAUUCAAAUUUUUAUUUGUCACAUACAGUCAUACACAGUACGAUAUGCAGUGAAAUGCUUAUACAACUGCUCGUGACCUAAAGAAAAAAAGAAAAGGCUAUGAAUAAGAUAGGAAAUAAAUAUGAAAAAUUAAAAAGGGUAAAUUUAACUAGGAAGGAAUAAAAUAAAAUAUAUAUAUGAAUUUGUUGAAAAUAAAAUAACUGUACAACGCAAAUUAGAAUGAAGGGCAAAUUUAACUGGGAAAGAAUAGGAUAAAAUAUAUAUGGAUUAAAGUUUAAAAUAAAAUAACUGUACAGCAAAAUACACAGUACACAGUAUAGAAAUAUAUAAGAAUGUAUGAAGAAAUAUAAAUAUAUAUACAAUAACAG